rnacentral:rRNA from 1 species
UACGUAGGGGGCAAGCGUUGUCCGGAUUUAUUGGGCGUAAAGAGCGUGUAGGCGGUCAUACAGGUCAGCUGUGAAAACUCGAGGCUCAACCUCGAGACGUCGGUUGAAACCGUAUGGCUAGAGUCCGGAAGAGGAGAGUGGAAUUCCCGGUGUAGCGGUGAAAUGCGCAGAUAUCGGGAAGAACACCCGUGGCGAAGGCGGCUCUCUGGGACGGUACUGACGCUGAGACGGCGAAAGCGUGGGGAGCCGAACAGG